CAAACUCCGUCAAACCUUUUAAACAGUAUAAAGAGCUUUCCAAAGAGUACAAGUGAUAAUGGAAGGUGGCAACGUUGAGGAACCUUGGGACUUAGUAAGACUAUCACUUGACGAACGGAUUUACGUAAAAAUGAAAGGUAAUCGCGAACUUACCGGAAAAUUGCAUGCUUUUGAUUCACAUUUAAAUAUACUAAUCAGUCAAGUAGAAGAAACUGUAACUUCCAUCGAAAUAGAUGAGGAAACCUACGAGGAAAUCGUUAAGACCGUUAAAAGACAACUUGAAAUGCUUUUCGUUAGAGGAGAUGGGAUAAUUCUAAUUUCUCCUCCUU